rnacentral:tRNA from 2 species
GCGGAUGUGGCGGAAUUGGCAGACGCGCUAGACUUAGGAUCUAGUGUCAACGACAUGGGAGUUCGAGUCUCUUCAUCCGCACCA